AAAUUGAAAAGCCUAAAGCACUCAAAUGUCUCUAUAUAUGCAGAUGAUACAUCUCAGGAUGUUUCACAUCAAUCUAUUGAUGUUAUUGAGCAAUUAGGUUACAUGAUGAUCUUUUAAACUCUAUGAAAUGGAUAGAAAGUAAUAAACUUACGAUGAAUUUAGCGAAAACACAAUGUAUGUUGAUUGGCACUGCACAAAAACUCUCAAAGUGUAGAAAAAUGUGUAUCAAAGUAGGAGAUAUUGUUUUAGAUACUGUUAAAACGGCCAAACUUCUUGGUGUACAAAUAGAUGAAUGUCUAACCUGAAAAGGGCAGCCAGAAUUAUAUUGAAGGUGAAAGUAACUCAGACUUCUACAGCUGAUAUUUUUAGUGUUCUUAAAUGGAUGCCUGUUCAUGAUUAUUUUGUAUAUAGAAAACUAGUGCUUGCUUUUAAGGUUCUUAAUAACAUGACACCAGAAUAUAUGAACGUUUUUAGUUUUGUCAGCCAAGUUAGUUCCAGAACAACAAGAAGUAGCGAUAGUGGCAUUUUAUAUUUACCAAAAGUUCGAACUAAAUAUUAUAAACGGUCUUUUAAGGUAUCCUCCACAAUUUUAUGGAAUCAGUUGCCUGAGUCUGUCAGAAGCUGUGGUUCUAUUACAUCUUUUAAAUCAGUAUAUUUGCAGCAUUAUUUCACAAAUAAGUGAUAUAUAGAUAUGAUGUAUAUGUUUAUUUUUUUCCCCCAGUGAUAUC